GACGAACGCUAGCUACAGGCUUAACACAUGCAAGUCGCGGGGCAGCAUGGGGGUUGCUUGCCAUCCCCGAUGGCGACCGGCGCACGGGUGAGUAACGCGUAUUCAACCUGCCCUUCACCACGGGAUAACCCGGCGAAAGUCGGACUAAUACCGUAUGUUGUCCAUUGACGGCAUCCGAUUUGGACGAAAGGCUUGGCGGUGAGGGAUGGGGAUGCGUCCGAUUAGCCAGACGGCGGGGUAACGGCCCACCGUGACUACGAUCGGUAGGGGUUCUGAGAGGAAGGUCCCCCACACUGGAACUGAGACACGGUCCAGACUCCUACGGGAGGCAGCAGUGAGGAAUAUUGGUCAAUGGGCGUAAGCCUGAACCAGCCAAGUAGCGUGCAGGAGGACGGCCCUAUGGGUUGUAAACUGCUUUUAUGCGGGGAUAAAGUGGCCCACGGGUGGGCUUUUGCAGGUACCGCAUGAAUAAGGACCGGCUAAUUCCGUG
rnacentral:rRNA from 1 species